GCGGUAGUGCUGGAAUUGGCAGACAGGCAGGUUUGAGGGAUCUGUGUCUUAGGGCGUGUGGGUUCAAGUCCCACCUACCGCACCA
rnacentral:tRNA from 1 species